UACGUAGGGUGCAAGCGUUAAUCGGAAUUACUGGGCGUAAAGCGUGCGCAGGCGGUUAUGCAAGACAGAUGUGAAAUCCCCGGGCUUAACCUGGGAACUGCAUUUGUGACUGCAUAGCUGGAGUACGGUAGAGGGGGAUGGAAUUCCGCGUGUAGCAGUGAAAUGCGUAGAUAUGCGGAGGAACACCGAUGGCGAAGGCAGUCCCCUGGACCUGUACUGACGCUCAUGCACGAAAGCGUGGGGAGCGAACAGG
rnacentral:rRNA from 1 species